rnacentral:rRNA from 1 species
GACGAACGCUGGCGGCGUGCUUAACACAUGCAAGUCGAACGGAAAGGCCCUGCUUUUGUGGGGUGCUCGAGUGGCGAACGGGUGAGUAACACGUGAGUAACCUGCCCUUGACUUUGGGAUAACUUCAGGAAACUGGGGCUAAUACCGGAUAGGAGCUCCUGCUGCAUGGUGGGGGUUGGAAAGUUUCGGCGGUUGGGGAUGGACUCGCGGCUUAUCAGCUUGUUGGUGGGGUAGUGGCUUACCAAGGCUUUGACGGGUAGCCGGCCUGAGAGGGUGACCGGCCACAUUGGGACUGAGAUACGGCCCAGACUCCUACGGGAGGCAGCAGUGGGGAAUAUUGCACAAUGGGCGGAAGCCUGAUGCAGCAACGCCGCGUGCGGGAUGACGGCCUUCGGGUUGUAAACCGCUUCCGCCUGUGACGAAGCGUGAAUGACGGUAAUGGGUAAAGAAGCACCGGCUAACUACGUGCCAGCAGCCGCGGUGAUACGUAGGGUGCGAGCGUUGUCCGGAUUUAUUGGGCGUAAAGGGCUCGUAGGUGGUUGAUCGCGUCGGAAGUGUAAUCUUGGGGCUUAACCCUGAGCGUGCUUUCGAUACGGGUUGACUUGAGGAAGGUAGGGGAGAAUGGAAUUCCUGGUGGAGCGGUGGAAUGCGCAGAUAUCAGGAGGAACACCAGUGGCGAAGGCGGUUCUCUGGGCCUUUCCUGACGCUGAGGAGCGAAAGCGUGGGGAGCGAACAGGCUUAGAUACCCUGGUAGUCCACGCUGUAAACGGUGGGUACUAGGUGUGGGGUCCAUUCCACGGGUUCCGUGCCGUAGCUAACGCUUUAAGUACCCCGCCUGGGGAGUACGGCCGCAAGGCUAAAACUCAAAGGAAUUGACGGGGCCCCGCACAAGCGGCGGAGCAUGCGGAUUAAUUCGAUGCAACGCGUAGAACCUUACCUGGGUUUGACAUGGAUCGGGAGUGCUCAGAGAUGGGUGUGCCUCUUUUGGGGUCGGUUCACAGGUGGUGCAUGGCUGUCGUCAGCUCGUGUCGUGAGAUGUUGGGUUAAGUCCCGCAACGAGCGCAACCCUUGUUCACUGUUGCCAGCACGUUAUGGUGGGGACUCAGUGGAGACCGCCGGGGUCAACUCGGAGGAAGGUGGGGAUGACGUCAAGUCAUCAUGCCCCUUAUGUCCAGGGCUUCACGCAUGCUACAAUGGCUGGUACAGAGAGUGGCGAGCCUGUGAGGGUGAGCGAAUCUCGGAAAGCCGGUCUCAGUUCGGAUUGGGGUCUGCAACUCGACCUCAUGAAGUCGGAGUCGCUAGUAAUCGCAGAUCAGCAACGCUGCGGUGAAUACGUUCCCGGGGCU